AAAAUAACUGUGGAGCCAAUCAUCUCACACCAUUGUCUAGUUAUCUUUAUAAAGUAGAAAGCUGAUUGGCCGCCGCGCGCGCUGUGCUUUAUUCCCCAUUUUGUUUUGCGAUCAAAUAUUUCCGAAAGAAGAGGGAUGUCAUUACCACAUGUGCGAGAACCAUAACAAAUCACACACCUGCAUCAACCUGCUCCUACAGUAUGUCCAGUUGUAUAAUAAUAGUCAUUGAUAGUCAUUUAGAAUGGAAGUCGGCACUGAUACGGAUAUAAACAAUGAAAAAAAAAUUAUAAAGAUCUUACGAGCUAAUCGAGUCGAGUUGGCUUGUCAAACUACGGAGAAAAUCAUGAAACUAUACUACAAGUAUCUGGACAAACAAAGAGAUGUAACAACAAUACUGCAAAACAUGUAACUUUUUCCUUGAUUGUUAUAUAUCAACUGCAUACGUAUAUCUCAGAUUAUCAAGAAUGUACAUGGAUAACGCAAACUCUGGUGUAGAACGGAAAUUGCGCAGUCAGCAAAGAUAAUGUACAAAAAUUCUAGAUCUGCCAUCUUCAAAACAUACUACUUAUAUCCUUGACACUCGGCCAAUUAUAAAUCCAGAGGUAGACGACCAGUUAACGUUUCUAGUCAAGAUUGCCGACCAAGUGCGGUACAAGGAGAGCUACAAAAUGUUCAAUCAAACCUUUCUAAUUACAGUCACUGAUAAUAAAUGGAAAAUCGUAAAUGAUUGUUUUCGAACUGUAGAACUACUACAGUAGUACAAGUUAAUCGUCUGCAUCUGAAGAUUGCAAUAAAGGUAUUUGUGAUUAUAUGUGAUAAACGAUAACUUAUAAAAACAGCGAUAAUUUGUUAAGUAUUAGAAUUUUUGUAUUUAUGUAAUAAAAACUAUAUCAUAAAAACCAAUGUAUAUACGUCAUACUUGUUUAUAAUAGUAUAAUGUAAUUAAAUAAGAUACAAUUCUGUACACGUUGCACAUUACUAUUCGGGGCAAAAUCACGAACCAUUCAAAUUGAAAAAAAAAAAAA
rnacentral:lncRNA from 1 species